rnacentral:lncRNA from 1 species
UAAUUACUUCUGUGGUAGAUUAUACUUAGCAUAUUUACUAAGGGAUAAAAGGAUAAAUUUAUUCCUUCUGAUAAGGUUAGUCAAAUGAGGGGCCUCAGGUGCCCUGUUCUUCAUCACAUCCCACUGCAUGCCCUACCUUGUAUGCAGGCAGCCCUGUGGGAUGUCUGCCAUCCUUUUCCACGGGAAAGGGCCACAGAGCUCUUCUUCUGCCAGGCACCAUAUGGAGAAUAUCUAGUGUCUCCUAACAGCUUCUUUCCACUGUGUUAGGAAGGAACUCCACUGAGACUAGACAUAUUUCUCCUGCCUCAGUUAUGCUCAUGGGACAGCACCUCUCCAUCUCCCAGUCUUGCCAUAGCUAUUAACAUGUGUAUCUGCAUCGUUCCUCCUGGGCCUCAUUAAUCCUACCCAGCACUGUUCAUGGACAAUAUCUCUCUGUCUGCUUGCCAUUGUGGGUGGAUGAAUGGAAGAAUGGAAGGGUGGAUGGGUAGCUGGAUGAAUGGCGAGAUGGUUGGAUGGGUGGAUGGAUGAAUGGAUGGAAGGAUGGUUGGAUGUAUGGAUGAUUGAAUGGGUGGAUAGAUGGAUGGAUGAAUGGAUGAAUGAUUGGAUGGACGGGUGGUUGGUUGGAUAGAUAAUGUAUAGCUGACAGCAACCAUCACCUGCACUCGUGGUGCCAGACUCCAAUCUGACCAUUGCUAUCUCUGCUUCUGGAGGAGACUGACUUGGUGCCCAGUGGCACCAACCUUUGCAGCAGUUCCAGCCAAAUCAUUUCCUGAGCGUCACAAUGCAGAAGUAAUGAAAUGGAAUGGAUCCAGCAGUUUCCCACAACCUGCCUUCAGACUGGCUGCACGGGAAGCACAGAGGGAACAUGCUGCCCUUGGUGCCAGCACCCAUCAUUCCCCCAUCACAGGAUCCUUCCUGGGGUGAGGAGCAGGCCCUACAAUGAGCUGACACGACCUGGAGCAGCCCUCCAGAUGUGUUGGGGACACUGGUGACCUGUGGCUGCCCAUCCCAUUGCAGCUGUACUGCUGGUGUCAGCCCUGCCCUCUGCUGCCACGGCCCUUGAAACCAGGAGAGUAGCAUCUACA